rnacentral:rRNA from 1 species
CAAUAGCGUAUAUUAAAGUUGUUGCAGUUAAAAAGCUCGUAGUUGGAUUUCUGGGAGGGUGCCAAUGUCCGUCAACGUGCGUGUGCAGCGGCGCCCUUCCAUCCUUCUGUUAACGCCUCUGGGCAUUUAUUUGCUGGUGGCGGGCUCAGAUAUUUUACCUUGAGAAAAUUAGAGUGUUUCAGGCAGGCUAGGCCGGAAUACAUUAGCAUGGAAUAAUAGAAUAGGACUAUGGUCUCUUUGUUGGUUUGAGGGACUAUGGUAAUGAUUAAUAGGGAUAGUUGGGGGUAUUCAUAUUCAAUUGUCAGAGGUGAAAUUCUUGGAUUUAUGGAAGAUGAACUACUGCGAAAGCAUUUACCAAGGAUGUUUUCAUUAAUCAAGAACGAAAGUUAGGGGAUCGAAGACGAUUAGAUACCAU